rnacentral:rRNA from 1 species
AUGCUGAAGUAUGAAGUCAAUAUGGGAGACAAAGAAAUGCAACAGGCAGAAUGUUGCAUACUAGAAGAGUUUCCGCCAAAUCCCGAGCCAAAAGAACAUAUUAUGCAUGCGACAACCACACAAAAGCAUGAAGUUAUUGAUAUAUCCAGUAAACGCAAAGAGAUUAUGGAUGUCAGCAGCCACGCCAUCGCCCAAGAAUCUUGCACAGACCACGAAGAAAAGGAUCCACCAAUAGAACCAGAUCAACCACCACCAGACGACAAGAUACCACACCAUGCUGAAGAGGAAACGGGCGAGCAAAAUAUCAACAGCAAUAUCCCGAUCACAGAGCAACUUGAACAAACAGACACUGAUUUAAAAGAGGAUGACAGAAGCAACGACGUACCAAAUACACAAGAACAGGAAGAAAUUGAUGAAUUUCUUUUAAGCCUUAACCCGCUCCAACUAGACGAAUACCACGAGUAUGUAAAGAUGGGCUAUAAAUUCGAUGUAAUCAAAACAUGGCUGAAUGACUAUGAAAGCUAUGAAUUCAACAAAGAUGCCAAGCCGUAUCUGACAAUCUUGCAGCAAGAAUCAGGAGAACAUUCAAUGUCUCAAUCAUCUGAGAAUAGCUCAGACAAGAAAAACUCGGUCAAGAAGAGGUCGGUAAAGCCUUCAAGCAGGCUCCAUGGAAAAAACAUUAUUCCUACUUUUGUCCCAGGAGAUUUCAAAUUUAUGAACAAAGCCAGAGCACUUCAUGAAUACCUAUUCAGCAAAGAAGGACAGGACGAAUGCGGAGAACUAAACGUAUAUAUUAGCUCGAAGCGACCCGAUUGGAUUACAGGAAAACAAAUAAUGGAACAGCUAAAGAAAGGAGAUACAGGACAGAUGGAGGGCUCCAUCGCAAACGCAUUGUUCGAAGAAUGGACAGUGCAGCAACAAUACAACACAACAGAUAAAGCCAUACUCCCCAUAGAAUUUGCAAACAUUGUGCUCGGUGUUAAUACUGGAGAAGAAGGAGGACUAGCAGAAUUCAAUGAGGACGAAGCAUUGAAACAGUUUGCACCCCUUGUAACAGGGAAGGAACUUCUAAAGAAAAAGCUGAUUAUGAUACCUCACAACACAGCUAAACACUUCACACUGUACGUGCUCAACAAGUACACGAGCUCCAUCGACAUACUUGACUCACUGAAUUACAGACACGGAGGAGGAAAAAAUUAA